rnacentral:rRNA from 1 species
CAGGGUUGGGACCUCACCUCGGUGAGGGCUCCAGCUUGUCUGAAUUAUUCACCCAUGUCUUUUGCGCACUUCUUGUUUCCUGGGCGGGUUCGCCCGCCACCAGGACCAAACCAUAAACCUUUUUGUAAUUGCAAUCAGCGUCAGUAAACAAUGUAAUUAUUACAACUUUCAACAACGGAUCUCUUGGUUCUGGCAUCGAUGAAGAACGCAGCGAAAUGCGAUACGUAGUGUGAAUUGCAGAAUUCAGUGAAUCAUCGAAUCUUUGAACGCACAUUGCGCCCUUUGGUAUUCCAAAGGGCAUGCCUGUUCGAGCGUCAUUUGUACCCUCAAGCUUUGCUUGGUGUUGGGCGUCUUUGUCUCUCACGAGACUCGCCUUAAAAUGAUUGGCAGCCGACCUACUGGUUUCGGAGCGCAGCACAAUUCUUGCACUUUGAAUCAGCCUUGGUUGAGCAUCCAUCAAGACCACAUUUUUUUCAACUUUUGACCUCGGAUCAGGUAGGGAUACCCGCUGAACUUAAGCAU